rnacentral:lncRNA from 1 species
AAUGCUCUGAAAAGAAGAGAUGACUAGGGUCCAGUAUCAUGCCCAGGGAGCCAUGGGAUACUCUAGAAUAGGCAGCCCAGAAGGAUCGUAGCACGAUCCCUAUAUCUUUGAAAGCUCAGCCAAUCCCUGAAUAGAAGAAUCGGAAUAAAGAGAAAGAGAGGGUACUGAUCACUUCAAGCAAGAUAGAAUCUUAGGGCAGUUGAAGCCUCUGGGCUUAGCACUACUAUGACCGAAGAAGACGAUUGACUAAAGAUAAAUCGCAGGAUAAACCGUGGGGAGAUUAGUGAAGCUAACGAGCUCAAACAAUUCCCAAGCACAACAAUAGCAAUAGCUGCAGCUUGAAAAGCGAAGGUAGUUCUUGGGACCUUCACAUUCACAAGAGAUCAAUGGAUAAGGUAGUUGUUAUGGAGUCAUGAAAGAGCCGAUUGUCUGAUGUGCUCGUCAGGUAGGAAGGAGAUUGCGAAGAGGUCUUCCAAGGGCGAUAUGUUAGUCAAAUUGGACCUUGAAGCUUUUUCAUUAGCUAAGCUGAUUCAAUUGAGUAAAAGAGUAAGCAAAUCAACAUUUGCCCCCGGAUCGUGUGCUUAGUCUUGUUAGUGACAUUCAAUUCCUUCUACCCUCACUAAUCUCUAAGUACUCUCCAUGGAUCUCAACACUGCCCCUUAACCAAGGGCUAGUCUUUGAACCAACCUGGAAAGCAAUACCGAAUUGUCCUUACCUCACAUCACAGUUGAUUGAAGGUAGCCUCGGUUAGCUCGUUCAAAAUCCCCUUUCUAGCUAUUACCUUUGCCAGAGGAUUAUAAAUUUAUUUCUUAAGGCCCCCCUUUCUGAUCAUUAUAUAGAAGAUUACAUAUGAAUCAUUAAACGUGACUUUAGAAGUCAGAAUAUCGCUAUCUGCUGGGAUCUAGUCCAUGAAAGACCUCUCACUGGCUGUCUUGCCCACAGGAUUUCUUAACCUAGUUUGCAGGAACUUGAUGUUAAGUAAACUCCAAAGAGAACUUUCAAAUUGCCUUAGCUUAUCAAUUCGGUUAGCAACAGCUAUCUAAAUAACUUUUAGAACAGUAUUUAUUGGUCUAACUGGCUUUAAGCUGAGCUUCUUCUGCAACUGGCUGAUCGGAUGGGG